rnacentral:rRNA from 1 species
UAAGGAAUAUUGGUCAAUGGACGCAAGUCUGAACCAGCCAUGCCGCGUGGAGGAUGAAGGCCCUCUGGGUUGUAAACUUCUUUUAUAUGGGACGAAAAAGGGUCUUUCUAGAUCAACUGACGGUACCAUGUGAAUAAGCACCGGCUAACUCCGUGCCAGCAGCCGCGGUAAUACGGAGGGUGCAAGCGUUAUCCGGAUUUACUGGGUUUAAAGGGAGCGUAGGUGGGUCUGUAAGUCAGUGGUGAAAUCUCCGAGCUUAACUCGGAAACUGCCAUUGAUACUAUAGGUCUUGAAUAUUCUGGAGGUAAGCGGAAUAUGUCAUGUAGCGGUGAAAUGCUUAGAUAUGACAUAGAACACCGAUUGCGAAGGCAGCUUGCUACAGGAUUAUUGACACUGAGGCUCGAAAGCGUGGGGAUCAAACA